CUGCAAGGCGGGCUCCUCUUGUCUCUGGGAGGAGUAAUGCUCCAUCAUGAGAACAUCUCUCCUGGAUCCAGAGAUACUCAUCUGGAGCCUACAGAUAUGGUUGUGUGAAGCUGACAGAUCGCAUCAUCUGUUUGAAUGCCGAUGGACACUGUAGGAAGACAAAAAAGACCGUUCGUUAAAGAAUAGCAAGGAAUUUUGUUCCAGGAAGCAUUAAGAAAGACAUCUUUCCAAGUGGCGGUGUUUUGAUUCUUCCAUGUACCCGCAUCAUCAUACCACCAAAUUUUCACAAGAGUCUUCAUUGCAGGUUUCAGAUGGCAAAAAUCAUUGUUUUAUUUUAUUUUCAAAAAUUGCAGUCAGCCCCUCUGCGUCUAGCGAUGUGAUAAAGCUGAAAUAGAAUGGGCAUCAUUGGAUGGGCUUUUGUCACUAAUGCUGUGGGAAAUGACUGGAAAAAAUAAGCAUCAUUGGAGACAGAUGCAUUCAUGUUUUGAGGCAAUAAAGUGUAACAAAACCCGGAAAUGGACACUCAUAACAAAACCUGAGGGAAUCCCAGCAAUUUGGUCCCU